rnacentral:lncRNA from 1 species
GCAACUUGGGCACAAACGUCAAGGACUCCCAUCGCCGGCGCCGCCGUCCGAGCUCGAGCUCACCGGCUACGGCUGCCAUCGAGGACCACUUCCCUGAGCAGGAUACCGCCGCGCGCGCCCACGCGUAAGUAAAUUCUAUCGCCCUUUCUGAAAUGUAUCUCCCGUUGUCUGUAAUUUGGUAGAGAAUUAUUAGUGGCGGAUGCGAGUGAUACUCUGGAGAAUCUCCCAUUCAUCGUGUGAUGGAAACUAGCAGUAUAAUAUUUUUCUCACAAUUGGGAAUGCCAUUUAGCAGUUAACUCUGGUUGAAUUGGCUUCGGCGUCCAAAAAUUGCAACUGAACUUAACCGAUCUCCAGCUAGAAUUGUGGUUGCUGAGGAUUAGAUGGCACCUUUUUUUUUGGGGAUUGGUUUAAUUUAGUUUUCGACCCUCAAUUAUAAGAGCAUCUUUCCCAUCCUUACCAAAUCCUGACCAUUGAUCUGGCCUCAUCGGACGGUCCAAAAUCGAUGGUACCUCGUCGUACCGCACGUACGUAUCACAACAGUACCGUGUGUGGGAGGGUAGUUUUGUACUUUCGCGUUAUCUGUUUCCUUCUCUGUAUCGCGAGAGAAUAGAGCCUCGUAUUCGUCGGGCAGGAGCAGGAGACAAACAAACCCUAAAUGCCAAGGGCGAGCGAUGGCGGCCCAAAUCGGGAAGCCUUGGCGAUUCGACGGCUACGGCCGGCGUCGGCGGCGCUGGAUCGGUGGCGGUGGUGAUUCGUCGGCGACAGCGGACGCGACUUUUCUGGAUGCAACGGCGGCGCUGCAUCGGCGGUGGCGGCGGCGAAUCGUCGCCGACUGCGGGCAGCGGCCUCGAUGCGUAGGCGGCGCUGCAUCGUUGGCGGCGGCGAUUCGUCGGCGGGAGCCCGGCAAUGGUUGAAGCUAUGAUUCGUCGGUGACGGCGGGCGGCCGGGGCUGCAUCGUCGGCGGCGACGGUGAAUCGUCGGCCACUGCGGGCAGCGGCCUCGAUGCGUGGCACAACAUGCAGAGUGAGGGAGAAAACUGAUCCAUAAGGUGUGUGUUAAUUGGUUGCUUUUUGUGGUUUUUUAUUCAUUGUAUGGGUAUUAUAUAUUUCCCCCAAUAAAUCGGUGGUGAUAGAUUGAAAUUGUCAAAAUAGUUCAUACAGUUGGGACAAUCAGAACCGAUAGAUUCAAAGACAUGGUUGGAAAGAAAAAUUGAGAUGUAGACACAGUGUUGCAAUAUAAGUCCCUAAAUCCUAUUGGUAACUUGAGAUGUAGACGCUUCAUGUAGUUUGCCAUGUUCAGACUCAAGACGUCUUAUGUCUUCGUGGACUGAAAGUACUAUGUUCAAAGUAACAUUACAAUUUCAGUGAAUAAAACAAUAUUAGCUUUAUGAAGAGGUUAAUAACAAAUAGGACAACUUGCCUUAGGUAAACAGGGCAAGUUCUUAUUGUAUGUCCCGUCAAACGACAAAACCCACAUUUCCUCUUGCGUUUCUCCAAGAAACCUCUCAUUCUCUUUGUAGGAGCUCCUUUAGGGACAACUAGUUCUGGAUCAAGCACUUUCUCACUACUUUCAAUGUCAGUGCGCAUACUUUGACGAACCACAUGACCAAACUGAAUCUCAAAGUUGUCACAAUUUGCACUACAGUCAUCUUCAAGCAUCAAAUUAUCUAGCAUUUUCAUCACCUUCAGUGUACUUUCUUCUGUCAUGGAACAUCGGAAAAAAGCUUCACUAGCCACUGUUCGUAGUUGACGAUAGCGUUCCAUCUGGUCUGACCAUGUGUAAACUUCACCAUACCUAUCUGAAGGAAAUGCAGAUUUUGCUUGCAUUGUCCACCGUCGUGCUAUGCAGAAGCUUGGUAUGGCCUCUAACUGUAAAUAACUCAAAACUGCAAAUAUGUGAUGACAUGGUAUGUACUGACACUCCAUUUUCCGGCAAGGACAGGCCAUGCUACACAGUAAUGCUUCCUCAAACAUGCAGGUCACAAUGACAAUUUUAUCUUUUCCAAUCAAAUGCAAUACAUACCUUACACAUUGGUCCUCUUCGAUGGUAUCUAUUACCUCUCAAUUGAUGCCCAUGUAUAUCUCAACCUUCACCUUUUUGAAAAUUUUAGGCGUGAACACACGUGCUGCAUCCUUCUCAAUUAGUGUAGCUUCAUUAGCAGUAAAUGGUACCUGAUUGUGAAGCCUUUGCAUCCAACUCUGCCUCUUGGUGAUGGAUACGCGACAAACAAUGUUCAUAAUGCUCCACCAAAAUAACUAGGCUCAUCUUACGAUCCAACAACCUAUGAAGUUUUGAGUUCAAGCUUUCACUGCGUUGAUUGCUCUUCAUGCUGAGAAAAACCCUCCCUUUAGUGUAUGUUGCUGCCCACUUUUUCCUUAAAUUAUACAUCCUCUUCAACCACUUAUUGUCGUCCGAUACCUUAUGCUUAAUCUUAAACUCUACCCACUUUCUUUCAAACUCAUCUUCAUCAAACUCACUAUGCACAAGUGUUCUAAAAUCUGAAAGCAUGGCUGGACUAAGGUUCCGUGCCAUAUUUUGCUCAAUAUGCCAGGUGCACAACCUAUGGUCAGAAUUGGGAAACACAUGUAGGAUUGCCCGACGCAUUGCAUUGUCUCCAUCAGUGAUCACAGACUUGGGAUGUUUCUGACACAUACAAGUUAAAAACUGGCGUAGGACCCAUUCAUAUGUCUCAACCCUUUCAUCUGAAACUACAGCACAUGCAAAUAUCACAGUUGACCCAUGGUGAUUGACCCCAACAAAAGGAAUGAAGGGGAGAUUGUAUUUGUUUACACGAUAUGUGCUAUCAAACACAACAACAUCACCAAAUGCAUCAUAAUCUAUCCUUGAUUGCGGGUCCGACCAAAAUAGCCUCUUCAAGCAUCCUGCUUGGUCUAUCUCGUAAUCAUAAUAGAACUCCAUAUCAUCCUUCUGCCGUGCUUGCAUGUACUUAAGAACAUGGUCAGCAUCUCCACCUUUAAUCCGUUUCUUUUUCAGCUUCACAAAAAAAUUGUACAUAUCCCUAGAAGUAAAACCAGUACCCUCAUAACCACCAUGGUCUCUCUCCAUUAUAUCCAUCACUUGAUGCUGAUGCAAACCUACAUCUCUCAAUUCUACCAUCUUAGCCUGUUCUGCAGGAGUUAUUCUACGAUGUGAGCGGAGAAAUGGCACUUGAUCACCUUUACACAACGGAUGGUUAUGCUUCGACACAAACCUAACGACAUACCAGUUACCUUCUUUCUGAUAUAGUUUAAUCUCAAACUGAGCUUUGCAACCACAACGAGUUAGUGCCUGUGGCUCCCUACUUCUGUUGGAAACAUCCAUAUAUAACUCCUUUCUAAAUCCUUCCCUUGAGCAUGUGAAUCUACGAUGAAUUAUUAUCCCACUAAAACGAUCACGCCUGCAGUAAUCCUUCCUUACACUAAAACCUCUCUCUCUAGCAUACUUAUUGUAGAACUGAAAACCAUGCAACUCACUAGGAAAUUUCAUGCCUAUUAUCGUAGCAUACUCUUCCUGCUCCUCAAUACUGCUACCACCGCCUUCCAUUGCACACAACACAGUAAACCUGCCAAUAAGUAUGACCACUUUCGUGACUACUUCAUGCAUUGCUUCAACUAGAAAAUGAACUACAAACAACAAUACAAAUGUUGCACAUAUCAUUUUUAGUGCUUGCUAAUUACCUGCGGUUGAGGGCGUACUGACAGCUAGGGCGGCGGCGUCAAUGUUCCACAGUUGUCCCAGCGAUGCUGGCGUCUUCCGGUUGGAUGCGACAGCCAAUGGGGCUGGGUGGAGGCGACGGCCGAUGUGCCGUGCUAGAGGCGGCGAGUUGUAUGCGACGCCGGGUGGCGGCGGCGACGGCCGGAACCCUCGAUGCGACGGCGGCCGCGGCGGCUCGAUGCGACGGCCGGAACCCUCGAUGCGACGGCGGCCGCGGGGGCUCGAUGCGAUGGCCGGAACCCUCGAUGCGCCGGCGGCCGCGGCGGCUCUCUGCGAUGGCGGGUGAGGGAAGACAGCGACGGCAGCCACUACGGUCUCGAUCUACUUGCGACAGCGGCAGAUGCGAACGAAGAGAAGAAACAGAAGCAGAAGGAAGAGACCAAGUGAUUGGUUAGCAGGGCGGUGAUUAGCGGCAGGGCUCAAACCCGAUCUUACGAUCUUACCCCUGCUAAAUUAACGGCUAGAUUAGAUUGGUACCUCGUACCUCAUGGCACCUCCUCAAGGACAGUAAAAAUGCUCAAAUGCUCCAAUUAUAAACCCUGAUGGAUAGGAUAAGAGUGGAACAACUUUUGCAACAGUUUAUAUAAUUUAGUUCAUUCAUUUGGCUCUUUCGCCUAAUUAUUCUGCUCUCCAGAUUGUCGUAAUCAAAUAUCUUAUCACAUCAAAUGCAAAAAGGUAAUGGCCUGAUUUUUUUUAGAGACAAAAUGGCCUAGCUAAUUGGUGGAGAGGGAAUAUUGGUGCUGAAGCUGUUUCUGCGUGCAUCAGUGUCAGUCAGCACACAAAAGCACAAGCGAAGAGUUAUUAAAAACAUUCGAUCAUAAAUGGAUCCACAUAACAUAGUACCAGAAAUGAACCAGUAAAUUACAUGAAUCAAUUAAGUGUCUUCCACUCAGAUACCAGUAUAGAUGUACCAAGUAUAGUGAUACUCGUGCACGCUGGUUAAUUAGAUACUCGUUGCCGGUUCUAACUUAGUUGGGGCAGCCAUCUGGGUUGUUGUAAACUCAGGAGGUGUUGGUAAGUUGGGUGAGAGUGAUAGGCUUGCCUGUAGCCUCCUUGAGAUUGAAGGAGCUGAAGCCCUCGGUGAGAGGUUCACCAUCUCCAGUGCCUGCAUCCUGAGCUGCAUUGGAUAGUCCUUCACACAUCCAAUCCUUGGACCAGCCCCAGUGCUCCAUUUCAGGGACAACUUGUGGCCAAGCUGAUAGGAUCUUGAUUCCCUCUUGGAUUUCACCCUCUCAAGAAUCGCUUUCCGCGGGACGUCGAUGGUGGCUCUAGGGCUUUGUAGCCCACCUGAUAAGGUUCUUUGGUAGGUUGGCUUUGCUUGCUCUGUGGCAGCAUUGUCGCCUUCGGCACCUUCAACUUGUGAAGAUGACCCAGAUGCCUUGUUUUCUAGUACCAUGUUUUGUGGGAGAAUCAAUUGUGGAGGAUUGGAUUCAAUGAUGGCAGUGAUAGGGCUCUGAACUUUAUUAGGAACUGGUUCUUCAUACUAAGCAUCAUCGUCGGAUGGGCGCACCUGAAUAUAUACACAAAUAAGAACUCAUUGAUUGAAACCAUGCAUUUGAUAUAUUUCAUAAAUACUUAGCCUGAAAUAUGGUGUACCACGUUGUUGAGAUCAACUCCAUUCUCCUCUAGGAAGUUCAUGAAGUUGCUGAGGUUCUCUGCACUUGGUUUGUAGUGACCACUAUAGGCCCAGAUGGACUGAAAUCAGAAUAGAUCAUCAGAGAUAGAAAAAAGUGCUGAUUAAUGCACCCAAGGAACAGAAUCAUGAACAAGUCAUAUGAAAAUUAUCAAAAUGUUCUCUUAUAAUGUGCUUGCGACCAGAAGAUUAGAUAAUCCAUUCUGAUGUCCUUGUAAGUCGUAACUAAGUAAAUUGAUCAAAGAAAAAAAAAUCUGAAGAAUCUUGUGGGAGUUAUAUUGGGAAAAUGCGAUAAUGUAAGUAGAUAUUUUGAUUUAGCAACGAUAAAAGAUAGGUAAAUUUAAAUGACCAGUUUGAUCCACUAUACAAAUUUCAACCACUUACGCGAAAAUAUUUAUAAAAUCCAUCCAGGCAUUGUCUAAUAUUUGUCACAAAAGGAUAUGCAUGCUAAACUGUCAUAUCAGGAAAGUAAAAUGCAGUGCACAAACAAUAAUGAACCUUGAUAACUCCAUUUUCUGCUGUAAACCUCCCAGCAGCUAUGGUAGCACCUCCUGCUAAAAAGCUCGAGUGCUGGAACACACCUUUCUCUUUCUGCAUGAAUAAAUCAGCUUAUAUAUAUGAGUAAAUAUUUAUAGAGAUGCUAAUUAAGCUACCAGCUUAUAUGAGUAAAUCAGCACUAACGAACACAAAAUCCUUAUGGCACGGAGAAAAUUAAACCACCUUGCCAGCAUAAAGUCUCUUCGUUGUGCUCAUAACAAAAAUCCACUUUGACCCUUGGCUUGUAUCAAGGGGUUCUUCAGAGUACUUAUGGAUAAUCUUUCCUUUUGUAAUGAUGUAUUCAUAUUGCUCACGCUCUUGCUGCAAAACAUGCAUCAGAUAUAUAUAAUUGUUAGAACCAUCUGUAGGUAGGAAGCAAAAAUAUAGAUCUCACUAACAAUAUUUUCAUGUUACAAUUUUGUAGGUUGCUGAAUUUAAUGGUUUGUUUCAGUUGUCAAGGAUUAUAUAUGCAGCAACUAUAGAAAUGAUCUUACCGGACCAAGAUAUUUUAUGCAUUGCUUCUUCAGCUGAGCUCUUGGACACUCAGGAAGGUCAACAUCUUUUCCCUCCCCAAUAUCAAGCCUACAUUUGCAAAAAGAACAUUACUGAAAUCACUGCACAAUCAAACCACUUACUGAAAUUUAUGUGAUUCAGUGCAACACUGAACUUAAUGCAUUCUAUUUGCAAAUUAAUCUCUUUUUGUCAGACACAUCCAACCAGUUUAAUUAUUCCAAUGACAUGGAGUAGUUUGCAAAUGCAAGCACACAAAUCACAGUCAACUUCUCACCAGUAGAAAAAAGGCUGGCCGGCCUGGCUUUGGCACCAGACAUCAUAGUAGCACUGCAGAUUGUGACCAUAUCUAUGCCGUGGGUCAAUCUAUACAACGAAUGAUAAUUGCUGUCAUAAUUGCAUAUGUGCAUCAAAAGUUUCACAUAAUGAACGAAAAAAAGCAGAAGCAGAAGCUUCCAUCACGCCAUCAUGAUAAGCUGUGAAGCUUUCUCAUGAGCGAUGAUGUAUUCAUGCUCACACCUGACGAACUACAAGUCCAAUUAAGUCAACUGAUAGCAGCCUCUUUUCACGUGUAUAUAUAUAAUAAAACAAUAAAACAAAUACCAUUAAUUUCUGAACCAUAAAGGUACUAGUAAUACACUAAUACCUGAUCAAGUAAAGAACACUGGUAAAAAAAAAACACUAGUAGAUUUGUACUGUUGUACUUACAGCCUCGAUCCAGUGCUGGAAUGCCAGCUUCCGAGCCUUGGCGUCUCUUGAUAAACCCUGACCCACCUGCAUCAAAGCUCAGAUUUUUUACAGCAAUUUCGACACAAACAGAAGAUUAAUCAAGGAGAUGCAGACCAGACAAACCAAAAGAAUGCCUCCUUUUUUUCUUAACCAAAAGAAUGCCUUCUUUUUUUCUUGUGGAAUUUUGUGGUAGGCUGCAGGUAGCAGCAACUGAGAAACGGAAGGAAGUAGGAGACCUUGGAAGCAAUGAUGCUGACACGGCUCCAGCGGGAGGCGACGGUCUCCGGGUUAGGGUCGUGGAAGGAGAUGGUGCUGUAGCUCAGCCGCGCGUAGUCCAGCGCUUGCCACCUUCAAACAAUCCAACCCACAAACUUAAUUUCUCGGUUAAAAAAUUUGAUUACUUUUAGAUUUCUAUUUUCUCUACACAAAUUAAACAGUUUGAAACUUUGAAUGGAUGCAGGAUGCUCAUGCCAUAAUCUCAAAGUCCGGAGGCUAAGUUCCAAACAGAUUAUUGAGCAAAUAGUUGUCACCGAUUAUCUACUUGAUUAUUAAGAUAAAUUAGAUAUUUUUGAUAUAUAAACUUAAUAGAUAACUUAAAAACAAUGAGUAAAACGCAUAAAACGGUCCUUAAAUUUGUAGGGUUGUGACAUCUAGGUUCCUAAACUCACAAAAUACAGAUUUAGGUCUCAGAACUUGUCAAAGUGUAUCAUUUAGGUCCCAAAUCGACACAAUCCCUAUAUGAUCCUAUGUGGCGCUGAUGUGGCAUGCCAUAUGGACGUGACGUGUCCUUUUCUUCUUUUUUCCUAACUUUUUCUUCUUUUUCUUUUUUGUUUUCUUCUCAUUCUUAUUUUUUCCCCUCUCUUCUAUUCGGGUCACAGAGAAAGGAGAAGGAAACAAAAGAGAAGAUGGAGAAAAAGAUAAGAAAAUAAGAAAAAAGAAAAGGUAAAAUUUGUUCGUGUGGCAUGCCACAUCAGUGCCACGUAGGAUCCUAUAGGAGCUGUGGCGAUUUGGGACCUAGAUGACACACUAUGACAAGUUCCGGAAAUUCGAUAUGCAUUUUGAGAGUUUAGUGACCUAGAUGACACAUCCCUAUAAGUUUAAGGACCGCCUAUACACUUUACUCUAAAAACAAGUGGUCCAAGUAAUAUAGGUAAGUAAUAUAAAUAAUAUAAAAUGCAUUAUUCAAAGCGUAGAGUAAAUAUUCACUUCAUCUUAAUUUGAUCAUCCCAUAAACGAAGACCACGAAAACCAAGAACACCAAAACAUCUACCAUUCUAAAAUUAGGUACUCCAUUGUUUCGUGUCCAACAAAAAAAAUUAAUUCACUUUAAAUGUUGCGCACAUAGUAUUUCAGGAUGUACAUUUACUCUUUGCAUAAAUAAACAAAAGAAACACUUUGUUAAUUAGAUGAUGAUUAUUUUGGAAAAACCUAAAAAAUCUUAGGUGAUAAUCCAAUAAAUAAUCUGAAAAGAACAACUAAGUGCACAAAGUUCGACUUAAUAACUUAAACCGAUGAGCAAAGAUAUUCCACAUGAAGGUUGGUGAAGAAUCCGGUUAAUUAAUCAUCACCAGAGCUCCUCGACGACG